rnacentral:rRNA from 1 species
GAUGAACGCUGGCGGCGUGCCUAAUACAUGCAAGUCGAGCGAACAGAUGAGGAGCUUGCUCCUCUGACGUUAGCGGCGGACGGGUGAGUAACACGUGGAUAACCUACCUAUAAGACUGGGAUAACUUCGGGAAACCGGAGCUAAUACCGGAUAAUAUAUUGAACCGCAUGGUUCAAUAGUGAAAGACGGUUUUGCUGUCACUUAUAGAUGGAUCCGCGCCGCAUUAGCUAGUUGUUAAGUUAACGGCUUACCAAGGCAACGAUGCGUAGCCGACCUGAGAGGGUGAUCGGCCACACUGGAGCUGGGACACGGUCCAGACUCCUACGGGAGGCAGCAGUAGGGAAUCUUCCGCAAUGGGCGAAAGCCUGACGGAGCAACGCCGCGUGAGUGAUGAAGGUCUUCGGAUCGUAAAACUCUGUUAUUAGGGAAGAACAAAUGUGUAAGUAACUAUGCACGUCUUGACGGUACCUAAUCAGAAAGCAACGGCUAACUACGUG